UACGAAGGGGGCUAGCGUUGUUCGGAAUCACUGGGCGUAAAGCGCUUGUAGGCGGAUCGUUAAGUCAGGGGUGAAAUCCCGAGGCUCAACCUCGGAACUGCCUUUGAUACUGGCGAUCUUCGAGUCCGGGAGAGGUGAGUGGAACUCCGAGUGUAGAGGUGAAAUUCGUAGAUAUUCGGAAGAACACCAGUGGCGAAGGCGGCUCACUGGCCCGGUACUGACGCUUAGGAGCGAAAGCGUGGGGAGCAAACAGG
rnacentral:rRNA from 1 species